rfam:Oryctes borbonicus contig13403, whole genome shotgun sequence.
GUAGGUUACGGAGACAUAUACCCAACCACUCCCCUUGGCAAAGUUAUAGGAAGCAUAUGUUGUAUAUGCGGUGUUUUGGUGAUCGCGUUGCCCAUUCCUAUUAUAGUUAACAAU